AAUGGGAUAGCUGGGUCAAAUGGUGGUUCCAUUCCAAGUUUUCUGAGGAAUCUCCAUACCACUUUCCAUAAUGGUUGCACCAAUUUGUAGUCCUACCAGCAAU
rnacentral:pre_miRNA from 1 species